AGAAAAUAUUUUAUCUUUCCUUUUCUUGUCGGCUCCGAAAACCCACUCGACGAAAGAUUGUAAAAAUCUUCAGAAUUUGUCGAUGCAACUCUAGCCGGAACACUUUAAUGCUGUGGCUGUUGUUACUUUGUUUGAUGGCGAAGAUCACUUGAACGGUUUUCAGCCACAGAGAGAGAAAAAUUUUAAUGUCCAACUCCACCCACGUAGUUUUUGGUGUUCCGUCUUAUUUUGUAGAAUAAUAAUGGAUCUCACCGUUGAGGACAUAGACCGAAUGGCCGCACAAGGUGGAGGCGACAUUUAUGCAUUGGUGCGGCGGUUGGUCCAGCAGAAUACCGACUUAGCGAGACGUGUAGACGAGCUAGCCGAACGUGUUUCCGAUUUGGUGAAAAGGAAUGCUUGCAAGCGUGGGAUCAAAGGAACGCAGCAGCAGU